CCUCGCUCUCGAAACACACCGAGCAGUCGCGACUGCCCUUCCGCCGCACGCCGGACGAUGAGCACGACGAGCUGGACGACGAGCUGGACGAUGACGAGGAGGAGGCCGACGAGUCGGAGGGCAGCCCCGGCAGGUGAUGGCUGGCAGCUCGUCCAGGAGCCCCGGUCAGGGUGCUGAGGGAUGCCAGCCCCAGCCCUGGCACACGCCCAAAGGCAUCGCAAGUGGCCAGCACCGCAUCUGCCAUGCAACUGCCCCAAAACUACCAACGUGCAGCUCAGAGGAACGGCAACAGCGGAGGGAAAGCAGCGUGCGGGAAAACUGCACGGCCGGAAAAAUGAAAUAAAAUAAAAUAAAAAUAAAAUGCGAGCAGCCCCAACAAAUCACCGCACGCGCCAGUCCCAUCCCUGCUAAGCACUUUCCUUUCCGAAUAAAAUAAAAUAAAAUCGGUUCUGAGGAAGGUGAGGAGCAGCGGCUGCUCUCAAUGAGCCACAUUCCCCUAUGCGGAUGCUUUAUCCCAAUCCCAUUGUUCCACUUCCCCACUCCAUUCCUCGUCCGCAAAAACACCCCGCGAUUUCCAACUUCGGGGGGAA